CGGUGGGAUGGCGUCCUAGUGCGAGGAGAAGCAGCUCGGAGACACUGGUAACGUUUGGAGUUACAAAUUGAGGGCAACGCUAGUAUCCGUACAGCGCCCCUGGCUACAGCAGGAUGGAAUCGGCUAGUUUUCGUACAGCAUUCCAUGAUGAGGAGGAGGAGGCGGCCGCGGACUACAGGGAUGCAGACAGAAAGGAACUCUGGUAUGAUGCCCUG